rnacentral:rRNA from 1 species
CAGGCCUAACACAUGCAAGUCGAGGGGUAACAAGAGGAAAGCUUGCUUUUCUUGUUGACGACCGGCGCACGGGUGAGUAACGCGUAUCCAACCUGCCUAUAACUAGGGAAUAACCUUGCGAAAGUAAGACUAAUACCCUAUGAUUUCCUUUGAUGACAUCAGAUUAGGAAUAAAGAUUUAUCGGUUAUAGAUGGGGAUGCGUCUGAUUAGCUUGUUGGCGGGGUAACGGCCCACCAAGGCAACGAUCAGUAGGGGUUCUGAGAGGAAGGUCCCCCACAUUGGAACUGAGACACGGUCCAAACUCCUACGGGAGGCAGCAGUGAGGAAUAUUGGUCAAUGGGCGAAAGCCUGAACCAGCCAAGUAGCGUGCAGGAUGACGGCCCUAUGGGUUGUAAACUGCUUUUAUACAGGAAUAAAGUUAGCCACGUGUGGUUAUUUGUAGGUACGUAGAAUAAGACCGG